rnacentral:rRNA from 1 species
UGAGCAAUCUGCCCUUCUCAUCGGAAUAAGCGUUGGAAACGACGUCUAAUGCCGAAUACGACCUCCUUUCGCAUGAUCGGAGGUGGAAAGCUCCGGCGGAGAAGGAUGAGCUCGCGGCCUAUCAGCUAGUUGGUGUGGGUAAUGGCCCACCAAGGCGACGGACGGGUAGCCGGCCUGAGGAGGGUGACCCGGCCACACGUGGGACUGAGACACCGGCCCAGACCUCCGUACGGGGAGCAG